UCCCCAAAAUCAUAAAACCCAGGAUCCCAUUACUAAUCUAAAACCCAAAAUCCCAUCAAACCUCCCAAAGCUCACAAAGCCCCAAUUGGUAUCCCUCUCCUCCCUCUCCGCUCUCUAAAUCUUGUAUCCGUCCUGCAUAUCGACCAACUUCUGAAUUUGUAUCAAUUUCUGAGUGUUAUGUGUGGAUUUCUCCCAUAUUUUAUUUUACUGAUCGUCUAAUCAGUUUUCUGGUACAUGCAGAACGCAUUCCAAAUUAUGUACUUUUUCUGGAUAUGGUAUUCAUUUGGGUUGAAAUCUUGCUUCCAUGCCAAUUUCAAGCUCGCAAUCGCUAAAGUAAUUCCGGGUAAGCAUUUUCUCCCUUGAUUUAUUAUGUUCUUGCUUGGCUCUAAUGAGAUUGGUGAGGGAGGAGGAGAGGGAUACCAACUGGGGCUUUGAUGGGAUUUUGGAUUUUUGGAUUUGUAAUGAGAUUCUGGGUUUUGGGAUUUUGGAGAUGCAAGUUGCCCAGCAAGAGAGAAGAGAGAGGCGAGAGAGAGAGGAUGGUGGAGAAAGGUUGGAGGGACGGGUCGAUCUUAUCCACGUUAAGGAGGUGGGCUUAGCCUCACAAUGAGCUAGUAAUAAUGUGAUUCAAUCAAUUGUUUAUUAAAUAUUAUUUUUUCUAUUCUUAAUGUAAAUUUUAUAAAGAUCGAUUUUAUUACGUGAAUUCAGCUACUUUAAUUGGUU